rnacentral:rRNA from 1 species
CAGCAGCCGCGGUAAUACGUAGGGUGCAAGCGUUGUCCGGAAUUACUGGGCGUAAAGAGUUCGUAGGCGGUUUGUCGCGUCGUUUGUGAAAACCAGCAGCUCAACUGCUGGCUUGCAGGCGAUACGGGCAGACUUGAGUACUGCAGGGGAGACUGGAAUUCCUGGUGUAGCGGUGAAAUGCGCAGAUAUCAGGAGGAACACCGGUGGCGAAGGCGGGUCUCUGGGCAGUAACUGACGCUGAGGAACGAAAGCGUGGGUAGCGAACAGGAUUAGAUACCCUGGUAGUCCACGCCGUAAACGGUGGGCGCUAGGUGUAGGUUCCUUCCACGGAAUCCGUGCCGUAGCUAACGCAUUAAGCGCCCCGCCUGGGGAGU